rnacentral:rRNA from 1 species
CAGUCGCCGCGGUAAUACGAAGGGGGCAAGCGUUGUUCGGAAUUACUGGGCGUAAAGGGCGCGUAGGCGGUUUUGUCAGUCAGUUGUGAAAGCCCUGGGCUCAACCCGGGAACUGCAUUUGAUACUGCGAAGCUCGAAUGUCGGAGAGGUUGGUGGAAUUCCCAGUGUAGAGGUGAAAUUCGUAGAGAUUGGGAAGAACACCGAUGUCGAAGGCGGCCAACUGGACGAGUAUUGACGCUGAGGCGCGAAAGCGUGGGGAGCAAACAGGAUUAGAGACCCCGGUAGUCCCUGUCUCUUAUAC